rnacentral:rRNA from 1 species
UUCGAGUGGCGGACGGGUGAGUAACGCGUGGGUAACCUGCCUUACACAGGGGGAUAACACCUGGAAACAGGUGCUAAUACCGCAUAAGCGCACAGGGCCGCAUGGCCCGGUGUGAAAAACUCCGGUGGUGUAAGAUGGACCCGCGUCUGAUUAGCUUGUUGGCGGGGUAGGGGCCCACCAAGGCGACGAUCAGUGGCCGGCCUGAGAGGGUGGACGGCCACAUUGGGACUGAGACACGGCCCAAACUCCUACGGGAGGCAGCAG